AUUGAACGCUGGCGGCAGGCCUAACACAUGCAAGUCGAGCGGAUGAGGGGUGCUUGCACUCUGAUUCAGCGGCGGACGGGUGAGUAAUGCCUAGGAAUCUGCCCGAUAGUGGGGGACAACGUUUCGAAAGGAACGCUAAUACCGCAUACGUCCUACGGGAGAAAGUGGGGGAUCUUCGGACCUCACGCUAUCGGAUGAGCCUAGGUCGGAUUAGCUAGUUGGUGAGGUAAUGGCUCACCAAGGCUACGAUCCGUAACUGGUCUGAGAGGAUGAUCAGGCACACUGGAACUGAGACACGGUCCAGACUCCUACGGGAGGCAGCAGUGGGGAAUAUUGGACAAUGGGCGAAAGCCUGAUCCAGCCAUGCCGCGUGUGUGAAGAAGGUCUUCGGAUUGUAAAGCACUUUAAGUUGGGAGGAAGGGCUGUAGGCUAAUAUCCUGCAGUUUUGACGUUACCAACAGAAUAAGCACCGGCUAACUUCGUGCCAGCCGCCGCCGUAA
rnacentral:rRNA from 1 species